UACGUAGGGGGGCAAGCGUUGUCCGGAAUCAUUGGGCGUAAAGCGCGUGUAGGCGGCCCGGUAAGUCCGCUGUGAAAGUCGGGGGCUCAACCCUCGGAUGCCGGUGGAUACUGUCGGGCUAGAGUGCGGGAGAGGCGAGUGGAAUUCCUGGUGUAGCGGUGAAAUGCGCAGAUAUCAGGAGGAACACCAAUUGCGAAGGCAGCUCGCUGGGACGUUACUGACGCUGAGAACGCGAAAAGCGUGGGGAGCAAACAGG
rnacentral:rRNA from 1 species